rnacentral:rRNA from 1 species
GCAUAUCAAUAAGCGGAGGAAAAGAAACCAACAGGGAUUGCCUCAGUAACGGCGAGUGAAGCGGCAACAGCUCAAAUUUGAAAUCUGGCCUCUUUGGGGUCCGAGUUGUAAUUUGUAGAGGAUGUUUCGGGUACCGCCUCGGUUUAAAUUUCUUGGAACAGAAUGUCAAAGAGGGUGAGAAUCCCGUCUUGGACCGGCGGUAGGGCCCAUGUGAAACUCCUUCGACGAGUCGAGUUGUUUGGGAAUGCAGCUCAAAAUGGGUGGUAAAUUUCAUCUAAAGCUAAAUAUUGGCCAGAGACCGAUAGCGCACAAGUAGAGUGAUCGAAAGAUGAAAAGCACUUUGAAAAGAGAGUUAAACAGUAUGUGAAAUUGUUGAAAGGGAAGCGCUUACAACCAGACUUGAGCGCGGCGGUUCCCCCUUCCUUUUGGUUGGGUUACUCCGUCGUGUCCAGGCCAACAUCGGUUUCGGGGGUCGGUUAAAGACCUUGGGAAUGUAUCUACCCUUCGGGCGUAGACUUAUAGCCCAGGGUGUCAUGCGGCCUCCCGGGACCGAGGAACGCGCUUCGGCUCGGAUGUUGGCGUAAUGGUUGUCAGCGACCCGUCUUGAAACACGGACC